rnacentral:rRNA from 1 species
AAGACGGCCCUACGGGUUGUAAACUGCUUUUAUACGGGAAUAAACCUCGGUACGUGUACCGAGCUGAAUGUACUGUAAGAAUAAGGAUCGGCUAACUCCGUGC